GUUGAAUCAGACACAGGCAAAGGCACAUUACUAUAAGCAAUAAAGUUAUGUCUUCCAGGAGAGGCACAAAUGAGCUGGAUCCCUCUUCAUUUGGAAUAAAGCGGUUACACUGAGAUUUACUGACAGAGUAUGAGGGGGAUGAACUACUUGGAAUGCUGAGCCUUCCUCGGUCUCCUGACCAGAACCAGGAACAUCCAGGAGAAACAGCUCUGGGUAUGGGUUAUGAAUGGAUAACCCCUACGAUCCUGUUCAAGGGAGGGAGACAAACAGGUCUACUUCUUGAAGCUGUUCCAUCAGGAUUGGGUUUUGUAUGCUCAGGGAACCCUAAGGAUGCAUCUUUACACUCUGUUGUGUUACCAUUGCUAUGUAGUCUGUCUGAGACUGAAGGUGCACUUCAGCAGCUCUAGUAAGGUAAGUGGGCAGUGGGCAGAACAUGAUAGGUUGGCAUGUAGGAAAUUCCAGUUAGUGAAUGUUUAAGGGAAA
rnacentral:lncRNA from 1 species